rnacentral:rRNA from 1 species
AUUGAACGCUGGCGGCAUGCCUUACACAUGCAGGUCGAACGGUAACAGACCUUCGGAUGCUGACGAGUGGCGAACGGGUGAGUAAUACAUCGGAACGUGCCUAGUAGUGGGGGAUAACUACCCGAAAGAGUGGCUAAUACCGCAUGAGAUCUACGGAUGAAAGCAGGGGAUCGCAAGACCUUGUGCUACUAGAGCGGCCGAUGGCAGAUUAGGUAGUUGGUGGGAUAAAAGCUUACCAAGCCGACGAUCUGUAGCUGGUCUGAGAGGACGAUCAGCCACACUGGGACUGAGACACGGCCCAGACUCCUACGGGAGGCAGCAGUGGGGAAUUUUGGACAAUGGGCGCAAGCCUGAUCCAGCAAUGCCGCGUGCAGGAUGAAGGCCUUCGGGUUGUAAACUGCUUUUGUACGGAACGAAAAGCCCUGGGUUAAUACCCUGGGGUCAUGACGGUACCGUAAGAAUAAGCACCGGCUAACUACGUGCCAGCCGCCGCAGUAACAC